rnacentral:rRNA from 1 species
CCUACGGGAGGCAGCAGUGGGGAAUAUUGGGCAAUGGGCGCAAGCCUGACCCAGCAACGCCGCGUGAAGGAAGAAGGCUCUCGGGUUGUAAACUUCUUUUAUCAGGGACGAAGCAAGUGACGGUACCUGAUGAAUAAGCCACGGCUAACUACGUGCCAGCAGCCGCGGUAAUACGUAGGUGGCAAGCGUUAUCCGGAUUUACUGGGUGUAAAGGGCGUGUAGGCGGGAAAGCAAGUCAGAUGUGAAAACCAUGGGCUCAACCUGUGGCCUGCAUUUGAAACUGUUUUUCUUGAGUACUGGAAAGGCAGACGGAAUGCCUAGUGUAGCGGUGAAAUGCGUAGAUAUUAGGAAGAACACCAGUGGCGAAGGCGGUCUGCUGGACAGCAACUGACGCUGAGGCGCGAAAGCGUGGGGAGCAAACAGGAUUAGAUACCCCGGUAGUC